AUAGAUGACCGCAGCUUCAGCGCACGCCACUGCGUAGCAGCAACCCAUCCCCUAGCAACUUUUGUUUCCAUGGCAAAAGCUGUCCUGUUUACGUUGAGCUUUACUAUUCCCCACCGAUCUACAGAGAUGUAACCGGACUGGCGAGCAGGCAGGAGGUGGUUAAGUACAUUCAGAUGGCCUUGGGAAAAACAGAUGGUCAGAAACUGAGGCAAUCAAUUCAAUGACAGUUUUGAUGCCAGGGAAAAGCAGCAGCUUCUACAGUUAUGGACAGAAGUACAAAAAA